AAGCAACACUCUGUGGCAGAUGAUCAAAACUGUCUGACACAAUUUGAGCUUGCUAUAGCAAGAAAGUCUAACCUAUUCCGGCGCUCUCCUCCAUGAGAAAAGCCGUUAUAUAGACUUAAACAGU
ensembl:snoRNA SNORA28 small nucleolar RNA, H/ACA box 28